UUUGGCCAUUUAUGUAGCUUCAAGUAGCUGAAACAGUAUUGGCUUUGGAUACAGAUGGACCUGAGUUUUACUCUUCAUUUUGAUUUGUACUACAUUUGCUAUCAUUGAAAAUUAAGUAAUCUUUCUAAGCUUUCAUUUCCUCAACUGCAAGAUGAAGAUAAUACAACUGAAUUCCUAGAUUUGCCUUGAGGAUGAAAUGAAAUGGGAAAUAUAAAGUACCUAGUACAGGACCUGGAGUGUAGGAGGCACUAAGUCAUUGAUAACUAUUUUAAUCUCUGUUAUUUGCCAUCUUAUCCAUGGGCUUCACUUUGAUGAGCGCAGUAUCUUCUGCUGAAUGACUCUACUUUUUUGCUAUGAUGCGCCUACUCUUCUACUGUUUCUUUAACUGAUAUUCCUUUCUUCCAAAUUAUUCCAUGUAAAAGAUGGUCUAUAAUGAAGAAUUGACUUUUCUUUGUUCUCAAGCAAAGGACCUUUGAUUUAUUUCAGGCAAGAACCCUGAAACACACGGUAGGAACAAAAGAUAGAAAGAAGAGUCUUGGGGGGUGGAGCCAAGAUGGCCGAAUAGGA
ensembl:lncRNA LINC01320 long intergenic non-protein coding RNA 1320